rnacentral:rRNA from 1 species
CCUCCUGUGGGCAGCAGUGAGGAAUAUUGGUCACUGGGCGCGAGCCUGAACCCGCCAAGUAGCGUGAAGGCUGACUGCCCUACGGGUUGUAAACUUCUUUUGUAAGGGAGUAACGUAUGGCUCUUGUCUCUUUUUGCAUGUACUUUAUUAAUAAGGCUCCGCUAAUUACGUUCCAUCAGACGCGGUAAUACGGAGGUGCCGGGCGUUCUCCGGAUUUAUUGGGUUUAAAGGGAGCGUAGAUGGGUUGUUAAGUCAGUUGUGAAAGUUUGCGGCUCAACCUUAAAAUUGCAAUUGCUACUGGGAGUCUUGAGUACAGUUGAGGGAGGCGGAAUUCGUGGUGUAGCGGUGAAAUGCAUAGAUAUCAGGAAGAACUCCGAUGGCGAAGGCAGCUUACUGAACUGCCACUGACAUUGAUGCUCGAAAGUGUGGGGAUCAAACAGGAUUAGAUACCCGAGUAGUC